rnacentral:rRNA from 1 species
AGAGUUUGAUCAUGGCUCAGAUUGAACGCUGGCGGCAUGCCUUACACAUGCAAGUCGAACGGUAACAGGGAGCUUGCUCUGCUGACGAGUGGCGAACGGGUGAGUAAUAUAUCGGAACGUGCCCUGGAGUGGGGGAUAACUAGUCGAAAGAUUAGCUAAUACCGCAUACGAUCUCAGGAUGAAAGUGGGGGAUUCGCAAGGACCUCAUGCUCGUGGAGCGGCCGAUAUCUGAUUAGCUAGUUGGUAGGGUAAAAGCCUACCAAGGCAUCGAUCAGUAGCUGGUCUGAGAGGACGACCAGCCACACUGGGGCUGAGACACGGCCCAGACUCCUACGGGAGGCAGCAGUGGGGAAUUUUGGACAAUGGGCGCAAGCCUGAUCCAGCAAUGCCGCGUGAGUGAAGAAGGCCUUCGGGUUGUAAAGCUCUUUUGUCAAGGAAGAAACGGUUUGGCUUAAUACGCUGAGCUAAUGACGGUACCUGAAGAAUAAGCACCGGCUAACUACGUGCCAGCAGCCGCGGUAAUACGUAGGGUGCAAGCGUUAAUCGGAAUUACUGGGCGUAAAGCGUGCGCAGGCGGUUAUGUAAGACAGAUGUGAAAUGCCCGGGCUUAACCUGGGAACUGCAUUUGUGACUGCAUGGCUAGAGUGUGUCAGAGGGGGGUAGAAUUCCACGUGUAGCAGUGAAAUGCGUAGAUAUGUGGAGGAAUACCGAUGGCGAAGGCAGCCCCCUGGGAUAACACUGACGCUCAUGCACGAAAGCGUGGGGAGCAAACAGGAUUAGAUACCCUGGUAGUCCACGCCCUAAACGAUGUCUACUAGUUGUCGGGUCUUAAUUGACUUGGUAACGCAGCUAACGCGUGAAGUAGACCGCCUGGGGAGUACGGUCGCAAGAUUAAAACUCAAAGGAAUUGACGGGGACCCGCACAAGCGGUGGAUGAUGUGGAUUAAUUCGAUGCAACGCGAAAAACCUUACCUACCCUUGACAUGUCAGAGAGCUCGAAGAGAUUUGAGUGUGCUCGAAAGAGAAUCUGAACACAGGUGCCGCAUGGCUGUCGUCAGCUCGUGUCGUGAGAUGUUGGGUUAAGUCCCGCAACGAGCGCAACCCUUGUCAUUAGUUGCUACGAAAGGGCACUCUAAUGAGACUGCCGGUGACAAACCGGAGGAAGGUGGGGAUGACGUCAAGUCCUCAUGGCCCUUAUGGGUAGGGCUUCACACGUCAUACAAUGGUACAUACAGAGGGCUGCCAACCCGCGAGGGGGAGCUAAUCCCAGAAAGUGUAUCGUAGUCCGGAUUGGAGUCUGCAACUCGACUCCAUGAAGUUGGAAUCGCUAGUAAUCGCGGAUCAGCAUGUCGCGGUGAAUACGUUCCCGGGUCUUGUACACACCGCCCGUCACACCAUGGGAGCGGGUUUUACCAGAAGUAGGUAGCCUAACCGCAAGGAGGGCGCUUACCACGGUAGGAUUCGUGACUGGGGUGAAGUCGUAACAAGGUA